rnacentral:rRNA from 1 species
GCUUACGGCCUUACCACCCUAUCUGCGCCUGAUCUUGUUUGAUCUCGGAAGCUAAGCAGGGUUGGGCCUGUUUAGUACUUGGAUGGGAGACUGCCUGGGAAUACCAGUGUGCAAAAGGCU